GUAAGCCGCAAGCUCUGGCUCCGAGGGUCACAUGUUCUGUUUCAGUCCUUUUUUUCUUGUGUUAAACCUUAACCUCAACUCUUAACUGAACCAUUUGGAAUUCAUGUCUUAAAUUGAACCCACGGGUUGGUAAAAAAAUAAAUACUUUGACUUUUGACGUUUGGAGAAAGUGAACAAAACAUCUCAAUCUGAAGUCAAACCAUGAGAUCUUGUUGCAAACGAGAAAACAGAGAAAAUAUUGUGAUAUGAUAUUUCGGCUAUUUCCAGCCCUAACUGCUGCUAUAUACCUUUAAAUAACGGGCUGGUUUUCAUCAGACACAGAUUCCGAUUCAUCAGUGUAAAGGAGGUGUUGUUUUUGUGAGCAGGAGGAGACAGUGGAUCAUCUGUUUUCUCAUGACUGGAGGGAGACUGUUUCUAAACUUAUCUGAGGGUAGUGCGAGGUGACUCUGCGAGGGGGAAGGCGUGCCCCCCCCCGGGGGGUAGGAGCGAUGAGCGCCCUGCGUAUCCCGGUCCUUCUGGCGCUGCUGGUCCUCCUGCUGACUGCUGGCUUCUGCAAACAGAGCUUCCUGGACGUGAGCAAAGGGGGGCAGACGGACGGACACAACCUCCUGGAGCUCAUCAUGGACAAGGUGCGUCUGACUCGGCAACAGGACGAGGUACACGUCCGUUACCCCGCCAAAAAACAGGAGUUCACCUUGGAGACCAAGGAGGGGAAUGAAGUGAACAAGUCUCACCAUGGAGAACACAUCAUAGAGGUGUUCCCCAGAGACCUGAGACAAAAAGAAAAGUUCCUCAAACACCUAACAGGUCAGACACUAUCCACUUCUGUGUGUCACUGAGGCCUGGGCGACUCCAGUCCUCGAGGANNNNNNNNNNNNNNNNNNNNNNNNNNNNNNNNNNNNNNNNNNNNNNNNNNNNNNNNNNNNNNNNNNNNNNNNNNNNNNNNNNNNNNNNNNNNNNNNNNNNUGUGUGUGUGUGUGUGUGUGUGUGUGUGUGUGUGUGUGUGUGUGUGUGUGUGUGUGUGUGUGUGUGUGUGUGUGUGUGUGUGUGUGUGUGUGUGGUCAAAUUCCAUGAGCCAAUCAAGAAACGCCAUUGAAAGAUUCGCCAUUGCUUUAAAGGAACACAAAAGGAACACAAAACGAGUAUUGUAACAUUAUGAGGAAAUAGAUAUCUGUGGUCUUUCACAGAGUGAUAUCUGUGGUCUUUCACAGAGUGAUAUCUGUGGUCUUUCACAGAGUGAUAUCUGUGGUCUUUCACAGAGUGAUAUCUGUGGUCUUUCACAGAGUGAUAUCUGUGGUCUUUCACAGAGUGAUAUAUGUGGUCUUUCACAGAGUGAUAUCUGUGGUCUUUCCCAGAGAGAUGUCUGUGGUCUUUCACAGAGAGAUAUCUGUGGUCUUUCUCAGAGAGAUGUCUGUGGUCUUUCGCAGAGAGAUAUCUGUGAGAUAGCUAGUAGAUGUCCUUUUGCUGAUUACCUCAUAAGCAGGCAAGCAGGCAAGACUCAAAAAGCAUAUUGGAUAAUAGUGACUUCAUGAGGGUCUUAAUGAAUUGUUGUCUCUACCUUCUUGCCCUUUGUGCUGUUGUCUUAGGUAUCUCUUUAUGUAGUGUUGUCUUAGGUCUCUCUUUAUGUAGUGUUGUGUUGUCUCUCUUUAUGUAGGGUUGUGUUGUCUUAGGUCUCUCUUUAUGUAGUGUUGUGUUGUCUUAGGUCUCUCUUUAUGUAGUGUUGUCUUAGAUCUCUCUUUAUGUAAUGUUGUCUUAGGUCUCUCUUUAUGUAGUGUUGUGUUGUCUUAGGUCUCUAUGUAGUGUUGUGUUGUCUUAGGUCUCUCUUUAUGUAGUGUUGACUUAGGUCUCUCUUUAUGUAGUGUUGUGUUGUCUUAGGUCUCUCUUCAUGUAGUGUUGUGUUGUCUUAGGUCUCUCUUUAUGUAGUGUUGUGCUGUCUUAGGUCUCUCUUUAUGUAGUGUUGUGUUGUCUUAGGUCUCUCUUUAUGUAGUGUUGUGUUGUCUCUUAUGUAGUGUUGUGUUGUCUCAGGUCUCUCUUUAUGUAUGGCGUUCUGCAUUAG
rnacentral:lncRNA from 13 species